AGAGAGUUAGUUUAAGCGAAAACGCUGGGUUGUCGACUCUGUGAAGCAAUAGUAUUGCACUUUCUU
rnacentral:tRNA from 1 species